UAGUGAGUUUGAUCCUGGCUCAGAACGAACGCUGGCGGCAUGCUUAACACAUGCAAGUCGAACGAGACCUUCGGGUCUAGUGGCGCACGGGUGCGUAACGCGUGGGAAUCUGCCCUUAGGUACGGAAUAACUCAGAGAAAUUUGUGCUAAUACCGUAUGAUGUCGAAAGACCAAAGAUUUAUCGCCUAAGGAUGAGCCCGCGUAAGAUUAGCUUGUUGGUGAGGUAAAAGCUCACCAAGGCGACGAUCUUUAGCUGGUCUGAGAGGAUGAUCAGCCACACUGGGACUGAGACACGGCCCAGACU
rnacentral:rRNA from 1 species